CGGCGGACGGGUGAGUAACACGUGGAUAACCUACCUAUAAGACUGGGAUAACUUCGGGAAACCGGAGCUAAUACCGGAUAAUAUAUUGAACCGCAUGGUUCAAUAGUGAAAGACGGUUUUGCUGUCACUUAUAGAUGGAUCCGCGCCGCAUUAGCUAGUUGGUAAGGUAACGGCUUACCAAGGCAACGAUGCGUAGCCGACCUGAGAGGGUGAUCGGCCACACUGGAACUGAGACACGGCCCAGACUCCUACGGGAGGCAGCAGGU
rnacentral:rRNA from 1 species